AACUGUUUUUGCCCAAUGGACUUUAAUUAAUUAAAUUUACUUAAGUAAAAGAACACAAGUACCUACAAAAUAUAAUCAGAGCAGGCUAUUACAAGUUAAAGUAAGCCCAUUGUUCCACUCUACAUGAUACCACAUGGUGGUGCUGUGGGAUAAUGCACUAUAGGAAAAAGGAGGGAAGUGUGUUGCUGUUGCAGUUCCAUGUAUGCCAUGUUGGAGGCCAUACCUUGCUUCUGUUAAAAAAAUCAGUAACCAUCCCAGCCCAUCCUGAGUCCUUCUACACAUUACACUCACAGUCCUGACGCAUUACCAUGUUUGGAAACACGUGAGGCCUCCACUGAAGAUCGCUCCCAGCUCAUAUGUGGCGUGCGAGCAGCUGUGGUGAUUCUUUUAUUAACUGGAAUCACCGUCUAUUUUCUUUGGAAGAAAAAGAAGUACCAGACAGCUGAAGGCUCUGCCGACCCUCGAACGAUGAAAAGUCAAGAGAACUCUGUUGUGAUGGUUGAAAUGAGAAGUUCUGCAGCUGAAGUUUAACAUUCUGAAACCAAACAAGCGUCGCCGCUCACCUGCUGUGAUUUGCCACGUGUCUUUCUGGAUGUGUAAACAGGGUUUAGAGUGAAAACUGUCUUUUUUAUUCUUCUCAAAUUUACUUUUCAGCAGCUCACUGUGAAUACCUACCCAUACAAAGGUGUGAGUGUUUUCUGCUUUUUAAGCUCUGACAGAACAAAGUCUUUUUAUUGUAACCCUACUUCUAUGAUCACAAGUGGACCAGCCGACUAUUUUCAGAUUUUAUUAGGAGAUAAAAGUUUUUAACAUUGUCUAUUAAAACCCAAACUGUACACCGUAACAAUUAUGGACAUUUUCACAUGUACAAUAAAGGUGUUUAACUCUUGAAUUAUGUACUAUACUCUCACCGGCCACUUUAUUAGCUUGUACCGGGUUGGACCCCCUUCUGCCUUCAGAACUGCCUUAAUUCUUGGUUGCAUACUUUCAACAAGGUGUUGGAAACCUUCCUCUGAGACUUUGGUCCACAUGACAGCAUCACACAGUUGCUGCAGAUUUGUCGGCUGCACAUCCAUGAUGAGAAUCUCCCGUCCCACCUCAUCCCAAAGGGGCUCUGUUGGACUGAGAUCUGGUGACUGUGGAGGCCGCUGGAGUUCAGUGAACUCUUUGUCAUGUUCAAGAAACCAGUUUGAGAUGAUUUGAGCUUUGUGACAUGGAGCAUUAUCCUGCUGGAAGCAGCCAUCAGAAGAUGGUUCACUGUGGUCAUAAAGGGACAGAAUGGUCAGCAACAAUACUCAGGGAGGCUGUUGCAUUUAAACGACGCUCAGUUGGUGCUAAGUAGGGCGGAUUCAGGUAUAUUGGGACAGUUUCUGUAAUUCUAUCUUGUGAUCUCGUUCUUGUCAUAAAGUUAAAAAAGUAACCCAACAUA